rnacentral:rRNA from 1 species
UUUAAUGAGAGUUUGAUCCUGGCUCAGGACGAACGCUGGCGGCGUGCCUAAUACAUGCAAGUAGAACGCUGAGGUUUGGUGUUUACACUAGACUGAUGAGUUGCGAACGGGUGAGUAACGCGUAGGUAACCUGCCUCAUAGCGGGGGAUAACUAUUGGAAACGAUAGCUAAUACCGCAUAAGAGUGAUUAACACAUGUUAGUUAUUUAAAAGGAGCAAUUGCUUCACUGUGAGAUGGACCUGCGUUGUAUUAGCUAGUUGGUGAGGUAAAGGCUCACCAAGGCGACGAUACAU